rnacentral:rRNA from 1 species
AUUGAACGCUGGCGGCAUGCUUUACACAUGCAAGUCGAACGGCAGCGCGGGCUUCGGCCUGGCGGCGAGUGGCGAACGGGUGAGUAAUGCAUCGGAACGUGCCCAGUAGUGGGGGAUAGCCCGGCGAAAGCCGGAUUAAUACCGCAUCCGACCUGAGGGUGAAAGCGGGGGACCGAAAGGCCUCGCGCUAUUGGAGCGGCCGAUGUCGGAUUAGCUAGUUGGUGGGGUAAAGGCUUACCAAGGCGACGAUCCGUAGCUGGUCUGAGAGGACGACCAGCCACACUGGGACUGAGACACGGCCCAGACUCCUACGGGAGGCAGCAGUGGGGAAUUUUGGACAAUGGGGGCAACCCUGAUCCAGCCAUGCCGCGUGCGGGAAGAAGGCCUUCGGGUUGUAAACCGCUUUUGUUCGGGAAGAAAUCCUCUGGGCUAAUACCCCGGGGGGAUGACGGUACCGGAAGAAUAAGCACCGGCUAACUACGUG